rnacentral:rRNA from 1 species
GAUGAACGCUGGCGGCGUGCCUAAUACAUGCAAGUCGAGCGAACAGACGAGGAGCUUGCUCCUCUGACGUUAGCGGCGGACGGGUGAGUAACACGUGGAUAACCUACCUAUAAGACUGGGAUAACUUCGGGAAACCGGAGCUAAUACCGGAUAAUAUAUUGAACCGCAUGGUUCAAUAGUGAAAGACGGUUUUGCUGUCACUUAUAGAUGGAUCCGCGCCGCAUUAGCUAGUUGGUAAGGUAACGGCUUACCAAGGCAACGAUGCGUAGCCGACCUGAGAGGGUGAUCGGCCACAAUGGAACUGAGACACGGUCCAGACUCCUACGGGAGGCAGCAGUAGGGAAUCUUCCGCAAUGGGCGAAAGCCUGACGGAGCAACGCCGCGUGAGUGAUGAAGGUCUUCGGAUCGUAAAACUCUGUUAUUAGGGAAGAACAAAUGUGUAAGUAAAUAUGCACGUCUUGACGGUACCUAAUCAGAAAGCCACGGCUAACUACGUG